AUUGAACGCUGGCGGCAGGCCUAACACAUGCAAGUCGAACGGUAACAGGGAUCAGCUUGCUGAUUCGCUGACGAGUGGCGGACGGGUGAGUAAUGUCUGGGAAACUGCCUGAUGGAGGGGGAUAACUACUGGAAACGGUAGCUAAUACCGCAUAACGUCGCAAGACCAAAGAGGGGGAGCUUCGGGCCUCUUGCCAUCGGAUGUGCCCAGAUGGGAUUAGCUAGUAGGUGGGGUAACGGCUCACCUAGGCGACGAUCCCUAGCUGGUCUGAGAGGAUGACCGGCCACACUGGAACUGAGACACGGUCCAGACUCCUACGGGAGGCAGCAGUGGGGAAUAUUGCACAAUGGGCGCAAGCCUGAUGCAGCCAUGCCGCGUGUAUGAAGAAGGCCUUCGGGUUGUAAAGUACUUUCAGCGGGGAGGAAGGGAGUAAAGUUAAUACCUUUGCUCAUUGACGUUACCCGCAGAAGAAGCACCGGCUAACUCCGUG
rnacentral:rRNA from 1 species